rnacentral:rRNA from 1 species
GAUUGAAAUCCGUUGUUCCUGCGGGUAAUCAGCCUUUUGGGCAUGAUUUUGUGGAGCGUGAGGAGUUAAACGCCUUCAUGCCUGCAUAUUUGUGUACUUUGGGUGUACUUGCUUGUGUGGUUAGUUAACAUCAAUUCUGGUUAUCAUAAAAUGGCUGGAGGAAUGUAGCUUCGAUUUCGAUUGAAGUGUUAUAGCCUUCGGCAGAUGUGAUGAUCGGGAUUGAGGAUUGCAACGGAUACCCUUCGGGGCUACCUGUCUGAUCUCUGAUCGUUGCUCUGGUGCCGAAAGCGUGCUUACGGUUAUCAAAGUCGAU